CCCGUCCUACCAUCUAACCUCGU
rnacentral:siRNA from 1 species